rnacentral:rRNA from 1 species
UACGUAGGGGGCAAGCGUUGUCCGGAAUCAUUGGGCGUAAAGAGCGCGUAGGCGGUCCGGUAAGUCCGCUCUGAAAGCCCGGGGGCUCAACCCGGGAGGCGGGCGGAUACUGUCGGGCUAGAGUCCGGAAGAGGCGAGUGGAAUUCCUGGUGUAGCGGUGAAAUGCGCAGAUAUCAGGAGGAACACCGGUGGCGAAGGCGGGUCUCUGGCCAAUACUGACGCUGAGGAGCGAAAGCGUGGGGAGCGAACAGGAUAGAA